rnacentral:snRNA from 1 species
GCUUAUUCAUAAUCUAACAGACGUACUUGAUAGCAAGAAAAUAAUCUAUCAGCACGUCAUGACGUUUAACAUGAUUCUUCUUUCUUGAUUCUGAUGCCUUGAAGUUUAUUACCACUUCCUAGUCGGACAAUAAUUUCUUGUUUUGAUUUGGGACUAGGCUAUCAAAAUCACCAAGAUACUGUUAAAAA